ACCUGGCUGGCUAAGUUAGUAAAGCAUAUGUCUCUUGAUCUCAGGGUUGUGAGUUCAAGCCCCAUGUUGGGUG
rnacentral:tRNA from 1 species